rnacentral:rRNA from 1 species
GAGGAAAAGAAACUAACAAGGAUUCCCCUAGUAACGGCGAGUGAAGCGGGAAGAGCUCAAAUUUGAAAUCUGGUAGCCUUCGGUUGCCCGAGUUGUAAUCUAGAGAAGUGUUUUCCGCGUUGGCCCAUGUACAAGUCCCUUGGAACAGGGCGUCAUAGAGGGUGAGAAUCCCGUCCUUGACAUGGACCCCCAAUGCUUUGUGAUACACUUUCAACGAGUCGAGUUGUUUGGGAAUGCAGCUCAAAAUGGGUGGUGAAUUCCAUCUAAAGCUAAAUAUUGGCGAGAGACCGAUAGCGAACAAGUACCGUGAGGGAAAGAUGAAAAGCACUUUGGAAAGAGAGUUAAACAGUACGUGAAAUUGUUGAAAGGGAAACGAUUGAAGUCAGUCAUGCUCUUUGGAUUAAGCCGUUCUGCGGUGUAUUUCAUUGAGCGGGGUCAACAUCAGUUUUGAUCGCUGGAAAAGGGCAGGAGGAAGGUAGCACUCUCGGGUGAACUUAUAGCCUCUUGUCGUAUACAGUGAUUGGGACUGAGGAACGCAGCAUGCCUUUUGGCCGGGAUUCGUCCACGUACAUGCUUAGG